GACGUAGGGGGCAAGCGUUGUUCGGAAUUAUUGGGCGUAAAGAGCUCGUAGGCUGUUCGAUAAGUCGGGUGUGAAACCUCCAGGCUCAACCUGGAGACGCCACCCGAUACUGUCAUGACUAGAGUCCGGUAGGGGAGCGUGGAAUUCCUGGUGUAGCGGUGAAAUGCGCAGAUAUCAGGAGGAACACCAGCGGCGAAGGCGGCGCUCUGGGCCGGUACUGACGCUGAGGAGCGAAAGCGUGGGUAGCAAACAGG
rnacentral:rRNA from 1 species